ACUGAAUUCAGUUGGAUUUGGCUUGUGUUUCAUGACUUAGCCAAGUAAGUCAAUGAUCACUGCCCCGCAUAAGGAGCAACAAGCCUAUGAAUAAAAAUUUGAAGGAAGAGGAUCUUAUUUUAUGUGGGCUUCUUACCAGAUUACAGACUUCAGCUACUACAUCACGAACUCUAUUACCAUCCAGCUCCUGUUCUCAGAACAUUCCAAGCUGUUUGUGGAAACUGGGACGACUUAAUCAUGUAGCGAUUGCAGUACCUGAUUUGAAGAAAGCUCAAUCCUUGUAUAAAGAUGUGUUAGGAGCACAGGUGAGCGAGACUGUUGCUCUUCCCGAACAUGGUGUCUACACUGUUUUCGUGGAGCUGGGAAAUACCAAGCUGGAACUUCUACAUCCUUUAGGAGAGGAGAGUCCCAUUGCAAGCUUUCUGCAAAAAAACAAGACUGGAGGAAUGCACCAUAUCUGCAUUGAGUUGAUAAUUGUAUACAGAAGUCAAAAAAGAUUGACAGUUGUACUUACCAAACAGCAGUAAAGUUGCCAGAGUUCCUUCUGUCCUGUUCUUCCUUGUCCAUCAAAGAGAGAUUGGUCUGGGAGUACACAAGAUGUAAAGGUGCUGGUUGAUGACAUAAAAGCGGCUAUGACAGAACUGAAGAAAAAAAAGAUACGAAUAUUGAGUGAAGAGCCAAAAAUAGGUGCACAUGGCAAACCUGUGAUUUUUCUUCACCCUAAAGAUUGCCAUGGAGUCCUUGUGGAACUUGAGCAAGCUUGAGCUGUAAUACUCAUAAAUAAAACAAUAGAUUAGUUGUGAAGUUA